AAAAAACAACGGUUAUUAUUUCAGUACUGUAUUUCUUGUCACACGUCUGGCCUGAAAUUUCUUUAAAACAAUUUGCUUUCACAGCGAAAGGCCGUUCGAACAGCUACGCUUAAUUGGUUCUUCCGUCAUGUACGCGUGCUCAGACGUGACUUAUUCGAGUCUUUGCGACACUCUUCGCGUGUCUCGCGGAUGAAAUUAAUAUGACUUAAGAUGAAAAGGAUGUAACUGUCAAUUUCACUGUCUCGGUAUCUCCGAGAAAAAAUAAUCCACGACAAACGCAUUCGGCAUGUGGCCGAAAAUGUGAAUUGUAAAAUUUUUAAAAGAAAAUAAUAAAAAAGGCUGAAGAGGAUGGAAAAUAGAGUAAACGUGAGAUGAACAAACGAGAAGAGAAAGAAGAGAUGAAAAGAAGCAAUCUGAAUAGAAGUGAAAAUAUGUUUAUACUGAGCCUAUGAGAUGUAGACGAGGAAAUUCAUAUAAAAUAAUUCAUAUAAAAAAAAUGCAAAGAAUGCAAACAUGUGAAGAGGAAGUUAUUCAAAGCUGAAAGGUACGGAUUAUAAAUUAACUAAUAUUUCUGAAAAUUAUUUACAUCUUUUUCGCUUUAAAAAGGCAUCUUGAAUUACACUCAUUAUAGAGAUGCGAGUGAUUUAAACGCGCGAAGAAAAUGACUUGUCGCAUUUACGACAAUUAAACAAGAACGAUCGCUCGCUAUUC